UUUUCUAUAUAAAAAAUUAAAAAAAAAAAGAAAAAAAUAAUGAUAAUUUUCGAAAAUUUUAUCAUCAUUGCGAACAAAAUCUAACUUAAAUUAAACAUACUCCGAUGUUGAUCUAAAUUUUCCUCUUGGGUGCUUCACGAAGCAAUUAAUAUAUCACGGAACACUCAAGGGAUAGAAUGAAUAAAACUAGAAUAUUCCUCAGAGCAAGGAUAAAUGAAGCAAGAAUAGUACAAAGAAAGGGACAGUGUAGAGGGCAAUAAUAUCAAGGAAACAAGGAUAUAUUCAAUAAUGAGAACAAAUAGUAAAUGAUAAUAAUACACGAGAAUUUCCUUUGAAUGACGAUAAUGGAAUAUAUCAUAAGGGAAAAAUUAUCAAAAGAAAAGAUUUUAACAAAAAUUGUUUGAUUUUGAAAGAAAUAUAUGAUGUAAAUUAAAUUUAUUUUUUUAGGUUUUUAAUAAAAUUAUAUAAUUUUUAAGGCAAUCGGUUUAUUUAACCAUUCUGUAUAUUUACUUAUGUAGAAAAAGUAUCAAUUUAAGAAAUAUUUUGAUUUGAAGUUUGUAAAGCUUACAUAGGAAGACAAGGAGAGUAUGAAUAGUAUGAGCAUACAAUAUGAUCUCAGAUAUUUCUUCAAGUUAUAAUUUAAAACUUUUCAAACAUAAAUAACUUAAUGAUUUUUAAUAAAUAAUUUAUGCAUUAAAAAUUAUAUGAUUUCAAUUAAAAAAAUAAAACAAAAUUAUUAUUAUUAUUAUAUAAUGUAAUAUCAAACGACUUUUAUACAAUUUUUAUAAGAACAUUUUUUUCAUAACAUUCUUUUUUUAUUUUAUAAAAAUUCAUAAACUUUAAAUUAUAAAAUCUCCUAAACCUAGUUUUUUCAUAAAAAAUUUACAGAAUGCUCAAAUAAAUCAAUUACUACAUUCAAAAUUGUAUAGUUCUAAAAGUUCUAUUAAAAAAAAAAAAUGAAGUUGACUUAAAAUCUUCCUGAUUACUUAAUCUACAUUAAUGCAAAAAAAUAAUUUGCAUUAUAUAAUAUUCUUUGAUUUGAAUUUAUCAAACAAAUAUUUAUUAAAAUAUUCUUUUGAUAACUUCAAUCCUUUAUGAAAGAGAUUUCAUUUAAAGGAAACUUCCUCUAUAUAUAUAUAUAUAUAUAUACAUUAAUUUUCAGCGACAAGUCAUAAGUGUGUAUCGAAGCAGAAAAUGACGCAGGAAAAUUUGUAUAGGAAUGAAAAUAUAAAAAAAUUUGAUGGAUUUCAAACAAAAAAUAUGAACUGGAAUUGUAUGACAAAAAACAAAAGAAGAAAUUAUAUACAUGUACCAAUGUAUCAAAAUAUAGAAAGAAA